GAGUUUUUUGUUGUAUGGAGUUUGACAGACUCUUGAACAGAACAGAACAGAAUAUUCAGCUUUUUGAGGACAUCGCUAACACGUCCCUCCAACCGUGCUUAAACUUUGGAUUACAGAGUGUGUUCUUGUUCUCAAAAAUUUGGGCAUUGCUCGAACUCGUUCGCAUACUUAAUUUGCCAGCAGAAGAGAGCGGGAUAGUGCGUGAGAGCAAGCUCCAUUUUGAGAGUUUGGUAAUUGAGAGCUUUCAAUUUUCUACUGGAGUUUUGUUCCAGCGGAAAUUUGCAGCAUCCUGCCAAUUUUAACUUGAAAAGUACGCGAACAGAUCUACAGUUCGUGUGUUAGAUUGCCAGUGGUUUGUGGAAUUAAGAGAUAAAAAGUCGAACCUCGUAGAGAGAAACAGGGAGUACCCCAAGGCGGAGGAUAUCUCUAGCGCUACCUUUCCUCUAUUCCACAACCUCCAGGAAAAUUAUAAGAUCAUCGCAUCGGGCACCCAAGUUGAUGUCAUCUGCGUGAGAAAUUUGAAGAUAACCCCCCGCAAAUCUUCACUCCAAGUCAGCGUAGAUGCAUAAGGAGUUAAAUGUGAUAGUCGAAGGCAUAAGAUUUCCAACCACAAACUAUCCCAAAAUACUUGGUGACAAAUUUGUCAGAACGCUGUCCUACGUACUAUCUCCUCAGUUCUCAUUUGAACCACCACUAUUUACUUGGCUGUUACACCAUCCAAAUCACCAUAGGCAUCCUCUCCCCAGAGAUAUCAGGAAGGAUGAAUAUGAUCUAUAGAGUGUUUACGGCCUGACAUGAUGGUAAAAUAUAAUUUAUUAAAACAUUAUUUUCAAUAGACAUUUAUCUUUUGUAUUAAAUUCCAAUAACUACACAAAAUGUGAGUUGAGUAA
rnacentral:sRNA from 1 species